AAACCGUUUAGGNGUAAACCUGAGAAACCCGAAAGGUCGAAGGGAGAAAUUCAUUCGCGUUUCGCCGUUGGCGUGAAAUGGUCGUGUGACGGAAAACGUUCGCGUUUUCCGCGCCUUCUAUUUUUCGAUCCGAUAGCGAACGCGUGCACUUUUCUCCUGGUAGGACGUCGCGAUCCGUUGAGUGUCGGUCUACGGCUCGUGGUGGAGCCCGUAUGUACGGCUUUUAGUCGUCACGUACGGACCCACGUGUCCCGGCUGACUCGCUCGACGGUAUACGAAAGGUUUAAGGCCGCUCUUAGAGCGUUCGACUCGUCGCAAGCGCGUCAGAUGUUUGUCGGUGAUCGGACCUAGUGCCGGUUCUGACCUCUGGCGACUGUUGGUGACGAAGUUCUCGAACAGACUUUUGACCGAUCUGCGACGCUAUAGCUUUGGGUACUUUCAGGACCCGUCUUGAAACACGGACCAAGGAGUCUAGCAUGUGCGCGAGUCAUUGGGAAUCACUAAACCUAAAGGCGCAAUGAAAGUAAAAGUUCGCCUCGCGCGAACUUAGGGAGGACGGGCGAUUCGCCCUUAAAAGCGAUCGCUCCGCACUCCCGGGGCGUCUCAUUCUCAUCGCGAGAAGAGGCGCACCAAGAGCGUACACGCUGGGACCCGAAAGAUGGUGAACUAUGCCUGGUCAGGACGAAGUCAGGGGAAACCCUGAUGGAGGUCCGUAGCGAUUCUGACGUGCAAAUCGAUCGUCGGAACUGGGUAUAGGGGCGAAAGACUAAUCGAACCAUCUA
rnacentral:rRNA from 1 species